UUUGAAUAGUCUUUUCAAUGUUGUUUAAAAAUGGGAAUUAAGAAAUAAUUUCAAAAAUAUGUGUUAAGUCUAAAAAAACAAAAACAAAACAAAAACCACGAGGCCCAAACAGCUGAUCUUCUUUGGCCAAUGAGCACAGCGCGCAGUGAACCUUUGACCUUAACAUGGCAGCUUGUUGUUGAUAUCGAGCUUGAACAUUUAAGAAAGUAAAAUACACCAAAAUGGAUCGUUUUAUUUUUUGCUCCCUAAACGUCCACGUUCUGGGUCACAGCCAAAAGUUGGAUGGAUCAGUGUUCAUGGCUGGAAUGCAGCACUUUGUUUUGCGUGUAGGCAUCUUCUGAAAUGAGGGCACGGAUUUAAUCAAGGGCCAAACAUUUACCAGCAUCAGCAUCAGUGGAGACACCAGGACCAGUAAUGUGGCACUUUUGGCCAUGAACACGGAGGGAAGGAGGACCCUUGACUGCGACAACAUCACUGAAGCCUUCGCACUCAAAUCACAGCAACAGACGUAUUGUUUUGUUGUGAAGACGAUCGCCUGAGUUCCCUGUGAUAUCGACUGAUCUCUGUGUGAACGCUCCGCGCCGUCCAUCCCUCCUCAAACCCCCCGUCUCUCUCUUCUGUCAAGGACAAAUAGAGACACAAAAGAAGUGGUCAAUAUCCUCUUAUGUUUCCUCCAAAAUGCCCUCUCAAUGAUGGAGACUAAUGAGGGGUAACAAAGUAGGCAGUUCCACCGGAUCCAUCUCUCGGCCCACGUGGGACUUCUUUUCUUUUUGAAAUCGACAACAGGCAGCAGCAGGCAGCACAUGGCAGAGACUCUUCGUUGGCUCCGGGCGAACGUGUCAGAAGUGCAGUUGUGUCACUGGAUUCAACUUUGAACAGUUGUUCCAUGUUACAUCUGCUGCUGCGGGUCAAAGAGGCCACAGCUGGAGUGAUCCACAAGUUGGUAUGUAGGAGGAGAGCGUGACCACCUUCAUCCAGAGAGACUUACAACAAAAUCAACAAAACAAGGAUCAUUUGAAAGAAAGUCU